UCCUUAUCUGCCACCCUGUUGCCGAUGCUUUCAUGAAAUAGAUGUCACAACCUAUUCAGACGUACCAGGCACCUGAUUUAUACUUCAUUACAAGGUAAAGUGGAUUGGCAUGAAGACUGUGGAUUUGGGCAGUCCAGUCAAGGCAGACAAUCACAAAGGGGAAGCAGAGGCCAUGUGAAGUUGCAGGGUCAAACAGUCUCAGGAUAUGGUCUGCAUGUUAGCACUGAGUCAUCCCCGGGGAUCCAGAAGAAUUCAUUUGGAGAAGAAAGCAGAAGAAGCUGCCCUGAGCCACCGCAAGUGAUCAAUCACAAUUACACUAGCAAGGAUGAACACUUAAGAGCCUGGUGCAAACCCCUGUGCUGCUGAAUGCUUCGACGAUGGUAUGCAAGAAAACAGGAAGUUUCAGGAGUCAGUCCUCCUGAGAUGGAGCCCCCAGCACAAGAAAUAAGUGGCCCUGUUGGAGAGAGUCUGGAGGAGGCCAUGAGGAUGCUCAGAAAGCUUAAGCACCUCUUCUUUGAAGGCUGAGGGAGCUGGACUUGUUCAG
ensembl:lncRNA